rnacentral:pre_miRNA from 1 species
UCUUAUGGAUGAGCGAAGAAAGUGGUCUCCUGAGAUGGAAUCGACUGUUGGUGAAAAUACUGUGAA